UGAAAAUUCAACUUUGAUCACAGGAAUAAAUUACUUUUUAUCAUAUGUUCACAUAGAAAACUGUUAUUUUAAAUUGUAAAAAUGUUUCACUAUUUUUACUGUAUUUUUGAUCAAGUAAAUGUGCUCAGGUGAUCAUAAGAGACAGAAACAUUAAAAAAUCUUAGACCAGAACCAUUUGAACAGUAGUGUUUAUAAUAAAAGUGAUAAAACAUAAUCAUCAAACACUAUAAGAAGAUAUAAAAGAUUUAAUUUAAUUUAAAUUCUAUUUAAAAGCUUAUUUUGAAUUUCAAUAGGUUGAGCCCCAUUUAGCUACAUAAUUAUUAUGAUUUUUAUUCAUUUAAACAGUUUAAUCAGAUUUCAAUCUGAUGUACAAAACAUGAAUUUACAGAUUUGAACACAAAAUCAAACAAACUGUGUUUUCAGUAUGAGAGUAAACGAAUGUCAUUUUGGAACGCAGAAUGCAUUAUAAUCGAAGACUGUUAUUCUCUUAUUCACCACUAGAUGGCGCUACAGACCACCUGAUCCUGAAUGAUCCGGAUCUGAUUCUAGACUAGAGUAUUGAUGCCCUGAACUUGACCUGAACCCUCUGUCUUAAUACAAGUGCUGUUAUAUUUAAUUUUUAACUUAUAAUAUUUCAUAUAAAUCUUUUUAGAACCUCAACAAUAUAUUUGAAAACCCAUAAUAAUAAUAAUGAUCAUAUAAAAGAUAGGCCUAUUGUUGUUGUUAUUAUUAUACUAAUAUGCAUACAAUUAUUAUUAUUUUACUAAAUAUGCAUUUGCUGAAUAUUUCAUAAUAUAUCAUAUAUAUAUAUAUAUAUAUACCAUUGUAUCACAUCAAUUUCCCAUUGCUGAAUGACACUGAUCUUGAGACACAGAUGAACAAAAGCACACAGUCAGACACUGAUGCUGAUGCUGAUGCUGGCUGGGGGCGGGGUCACCGGUCGUUGCCAUAGGUACCUGGAGCUGUGCCAGAGUAUUUGCAUGUAUUCAAAUUGCUCAUGAAUAAUUUACUACACAGCAGCCACCGCUGCAGACACUGAUGUGCUGUUUUCAUCACUACAUGUGCUGCAUUUACACUCCUUCUGAAAGUCACUGCAAAGACAAGAGGAUGAGUGACACAUCAGACCUGUGAUGAUGAUGAUGCUUUCAUAACUGCCAUAAUAUACCAUUGGGAUAGAUAGAUAGAUAGAUAGAUAGAUAGAUAGAUAGAUAGAUAGAUAGAUAGAUAGAUAGAUAGAUAGAUAGAUAGAUAGAUAGAUAGAUACGUGGUGUUUAUUGGCUCACUGAAUUUCACAGGAAGUGGUGUCACAGUUCUGGAAACAGCUGACUGGAGGAUGUCAGAAAGGGGCGUGUCCACACAGAAAGCAAGAGUCAUUUGAGUGUCCGACACGUGAGGAGGAGCAAACUUUAUCAUCACACGAUGGAAUGAUGAUUGAUUGACAGAUGCUGAUCAAAGGUUUGCUGCUGAUUAAUGCGCUAAAGUCCAUAGGUGACGUUACAUCACAGAUUCAUCCUCCAGCUGGAUGUGACCGAGUCCGUCUUCCAGCAUCACAGGAAGUGACGUCAGCGAACCUUCAGAGCGACGGAGGAUCUCAUCAGCAG